rnacentral:lncRNA from 1 species
UUCCGCCUUGCUCUGUUUGGGCCUGAACGCCCAGGGUUGCUUUCAGAUCCCUUAGCCUAGUUUUCUGCCAUUCAACCUUAAAGCUUUCCACUACAUAUUUUUUUCUUUUGGUUUUGUGUGCAUGUGCAUGCAUGUGAGAGAGAAAGAGGAGAGAGAGGAGGCUAGAAGACAACCUUGGGUAUCAUUCCUUGGGUGCUUUCCAUUUUUUGUGUUAAGUCAGGGUCUCAUUAACUUGGAACUGCUAUGCAAACCAUGCUGUCUGGUCAGAGAGUCCUGGGUAUCCACCUGCCCCCACCUCACAUCCCACUAUUACUGGGAUUAUAAAUGUGUUCAUGGUUCUGGGGACCCGAACUCUGGUCCUCAAAUUUGUAAGGCAAAUCUGCUACUGAGAGGCAGGGUCUCAUUCUAUCUAGUCUAGGCUGACCUCAAACUCCUCUGUACAUAGGACAAGCAUGACCAUGUCCUUAUGCUUUCAGGAUUACAGGCCUGUACCACCACGCCUAGUUCUCUUGAUUUGUAGUCUGCACUCUGCUUUUGUUGUUUGGUUGGUUCUGCAAGGUGGUAUAGGCUAGUCUGGAACUUAGCCCUCCCACUACUUGCUGGGAUUGUAUGCAAUGCACCCCAAGUUCACAAUCAGAACAGCACCUUACCAGCUCAGGAAAUCUAUAUGUCAUACUUGUUAAAUGUGCCUUGUUGUCUCUUGUGGGUUGUGGGUAAGAUUUGAGGUGACAUCUCAGAUCCAUGAACAAAGAAGGAUGGUGUGUUUUGAGGCCUAGAAAGAAGGAAAUAAGGUCUUUGGGAGCGGGCACUUGAAGGUCUUGGCACACCAUUCCUUUGUUUCUGCUUACUGCCCACAAUGAGGUGAGCAUGCCUGCAUACAUUCCACCAUGAUACCUUGCUUCUCAACCCUGUAUAUAUCAUCCCUCAUGGUACUCGGUAUACAUCAUCCUACAAUGGAAACCAGUUUCCCAGUGCUGUAUAUAUCAGCCUGCUAUACUACUAUGCUUUGCCAUGUACCCUCCUGAAAACUAGGGUUAAGGGUGUGUGUCACCAUGCCCAGUCUUGAGGGUGGGUUUUUUUUUAAUGCUUAGUUUAUUAUUUGUGUGUGUGUGUGCCACCAUUAUAUAUAAAUAAUUUUUGAGACAGGUUCUCACUGUGUAGCCCUUACUGGCCUGGAACUCACUGUGUAGACCAAGAUGACCCUGAACUCAGGGACCCACCUGCCUCUGGCUCCUGAGUGCUGGAAUCAAAGGCGUGAACCUCCACAUUAAGGGAAUGGAGCAGACAACCUGAAGGGGUGUCUGAUGAUUAAUCCCUGGUUAGUUUGAGUAACAGAAAAGAUGACAAUGCAUUUGAGUCUUUUAAAUAAGAACCCAGGAUAGAGUCUACUGUGCACAGUGGAACCCCAAGGAAAAGAAGAUAGAGAAAAAAGCCAGCAGCCUCAGGAGUAAAUGUCACCCACUGACAAGAGUCUCAUGUGGAUGUUAAGCUGGGCAUAAAAUAGCACAAAAACCAAGUAUCUGCACUGUUUAAGUCUUACCUAGCAGGGCGUGGUGGCUCACACCUGCAAUCCCAGCCCUUAUGAAGAUUUUAAAUUCAAGUUAGCCUGGGCUAUAAAACUAACACUAUAAAAUGAGCAGUUACUGAAGGGUAUGCGCCAUUUCUCUGAGAUGCUCUUAGUAUGUCAUCUCAAUAUAACUAUGGUCAGAUAAUCCCAAGCAGCUCUUCAAGGUUGCCAAGGCCACGAAUAAUAAGGAAUGAUCUAGAAACAGCCACAUGCAUACCGGGAGAGAAUACAGACACUGUCUGAGAUCCUCAUUUCAGAUGUCGGAUUAGACUAGCAUUUCAGCUGUGUUGACGUGGGUGUGGCUGUGGAGGGUCUUAGCAUUAAUGACAGGUGAUGUGACAUUUGAGCUAUUUCUGUCUUGCUUUAGAAGUUUUUCAAAAUAAAAAGAGACUGUUUUGUG